rnacentral:rRNA from 1 species
UACGUAGGGUGCGAGCGUUAAUCGGAAUUACUGGGCGUAAAGCGCACGUAGGCGGCCAACUAAGUCGGAUGUGAAAUCCCCAGGCUUAACCUGGGAACUGCAUCCGAUACUGGAUGGCUUGAAUCCGGGAGAGGGAUGCAGAAUUCCAGGUGUAGCGGUGAAAUGCGUAGAUAUCUGGAGGAAUACCGGUGGCGAAGGCGGCAUCCUGGACCGGCAUUGACGCUGAUGAGCGAAAGCUAGGGGAGCAAACGGG